rnacentral:rRNA from 1 species
CCUACGGGCGGCAGCAGUAGGGAAUAUUGCACAAUGGGGGAAACCCUGAUGCAGCGACGCCGCGUGGAGGAAGAAGUAUUUCGGUAUGUAAACUUCUAUCAGCAGAGAAGAUAAUGACGGUACCUGACGAAGAAGCACCGGCUAACUACGUGCCAGCAGCCGCGGUAAUACGUAGGGGGCAAGCGUUAUCCGGAUUUACUGGGUGUAAAGGGCGCGUAGGCGGUAGAGCAAGUCAGAAGUGAAAUCCCGUGGCUUAACCAUAGAACUGCUUUUGAAACUGUUAAUCUAGAGUGUAGGAGAGGUAAGUGGAAUUCCUGGUGUAGCGGUAAAAUGCGUAGAUAUUAGGAGGAAUACUCGUGGCGAAGGCGGCCUACUGGAACGUAACUGACGCUGAGGCUCGAAAGCGUGGGGAGCAAACAGGAUUAGAUACCCGAGUAGUC